UACAGAGGGUGCAAGCGUUAAUCGGAAUUACUGGGCGUAAAGCGUGCGCAGGCGGUUUUGUAAGUCUGUCGUGAAAGCCCCGGGCUCAACCUGGGAAUUGCGAUGGAGACUGCAAGGCUUGAAUCUGGCAGAGGGGGGUAGAAUUCCACGUGUAGCAGUGAAAUGCGUAGAGAUGUGGAGGAACACCGAUGGCGAAGGCAGCCCCCUGGGUCAAGAUUGACGCUCAUGCACGAAAGCGUGGGGAGCAAACAGG
rnacentral:rRNA from 1 species